rnacentral:lncRNA from 1 species
GCCAAGCCCACGUGCACCACAUACAGCAGCCCCCAGCUGUCGGCCCAGGAGGACUUCCGGUUCGAGAAGAUGGAGGUGUGGGCCGUGGGUGACCCCUCGGUGACACAGCCGGCCAAGAGCAGCAAGAGCAUUCUGGAUGGGGACCCCGAGGCCCAGAUCCUGCUUGAGGCCAGCGGGCGGAGUCGCCACAGCGAGGGGCUCCGGGCGGUGCCUGAGGAUGACUGAGGAGAAGGCCCCAGGGCAGGCCCUCCUGCAGCCGGGUCCAGGCUCCCGACAGAGCGCCACUCGCAGACCCUCCCCCAUCCUGCGUGGGCUCCCCUGCGGUACAGAGCGUGCUGGUCGCGGCCAGGUGGUCCUGGAGGUGCCUCAUCGGAAGAGAGUAAAAGUCCUCUGGGGCCAUGACGGCCGUUGGUGGGUGCAUCUCCCCCCGAAACCCUCAGGGUCAGAUUGGCAGCUUGAUUCUUACCCUCGGCUCUGCGGAUGAGCCCUGCAGAUGCCUGAGACUUUGCACGCCUCUGGCAGUAAUUAAAUCCUGUGUUGAGGAUUGGCGUUCUUGCUGUGGGGGAGCGAGAUCCACUCGCUGGGGGGCCCUUGGCUCCUGCUCAGGCCUCCCAGUUAAAAGCCUUGGUGUUCCAUUUCCACUGGUAAGGGGAGGCGGUGUUUGGCUGUGAAUCGUGAGGCUUUGGGGAACAGCUUCCUAUGUCCUGGAAUUUCUUUCAAAGAGGUGUUAACAGCGUAUUAAUGGGCGAAAAAGCCAAAGACUUUGGAGGUAGCGGGGACACGGUCUCCCCUAAGGUUCCACGUCUGCUUUUCUCAGCUGUUUGUAAGAGCAUCUGUGCUGUGAGCCAGUGGGGAGCCAGGAGGUCUGUGGAGCAGCGAUGGUGUGGUUUUCUUACUGAUGAAACGUGGGGCCGUUCGGGGCCGUGAAGCUCAGAGUCCUGCUAAGACAUGUCCCGCCUGCCAGUGGAUGGACCAGCCUGGGCUCCUGACCUCCCAGGGUCACCCCCAUGCUGCUCCCCAAGGGCAGGGUGGGUCGUCUUGACAGCGUGGACUUGCUUUAAACGGACGGCAGUGAUCUGGAGACGCUGCGAGGACAGCGGCGGGCCGGGCCUCGGGCAGCACCACUGACCCGCGUCCAGCCCCUCGGAGGGGCCCGAGCAACGUCCAGAGACCCUGAGAAUCCUGGCAGGGCGCAGGGGGCUCAGCUCUUCUGUAGAUUUGACGAAAAUGCUGCCUGUUUGUAGUCUGUGCCCGGAUUUAUAAGCCAUAGGAAACGGAGCUGUUUGCAUCUUGCAGCUUCUGCAUUCUUUUUACCAGGGGGCUUAUCAAACUCUACGCUUAGCCCUGAGCACAAGGCCUUGAAACGAGCCUUCAGAAGAGGGGCGUGCGCUCAGAGCAUGCAUGACACGCGCACAUGGUCCUGAUUGAUUUUCCUUAUAAAAAAAAGAAGGAAAUAAUAGCUUUAAUAGCUUCUCAGGUACUUUAUGACCGACGACCUGACUGAUGGGAAGCAGAGAGAGGCUCUUAGGAUCUACAGGUACCCUUGCCAGAAUCUGAAGAAUCAGGCCCUGAGUCUUCUGUUUGUUACGGGUUUUUUAAAGAAUAAAAAUGCAAUGAAAUACCUCACUCA